rnacentral:rRNA from 1 species
GACGUAGGGCGCGAGCGUUGUCCGGAUUUAUUGGGCGUAAAGAGCUCGUAGGCGGUUUGUCGCGUCGUCUGUGAAAACCCACGGCUCAACUGUGGGCUUGCAGUCGAUACGGGCAGGCUAGAGUUCGGUAGGGGAGACUGGAAUUCCUGGUGUAGCGGUGAAAUGCGCAGAUAUCAGGAGGAACACCGGUGGCGAAGGCGGGUCUCUGGGCCUUACCUGACGCUGAGGAGCGAAAGCGUGGGUAGCGAACAGG